rnacentral:tRNA from 1 species
GGAGAGGUGACUGAGUGGCCGAAAGUGCUCGCCUCGAAAGCGAGUGUACCUUCGGGUACCGUGGGUUCGACUCCCACCCUCUCCG